rnacentral:lncRNA from 1 species
AAAAGUUGAAUAGUAAAAUAAAAAUUUUAAAAGUUUGUAUAGUCAAAUUUCACCCGUAGUCCAGGUAAGUUUCUUACAUUUUUAUCUUUUUUUUAGGAAAAACUUUAAAUACCACCCCAUGUGGUUUCCUACUUUUUCACUUUAGUAUCCUAUGGUUUAAAGUGUUUCAAUUUAGUAUCCUGUCGCUCCGCACUUUUUCACUUUAGUACCCUGUAGUUUAAAGUGCAUCAAUAUAGUAUUCUGUGGUUUUAUUUUUUCUUUUUUGUCGGCACCUCUGUUAAUAUUUUGUUAAAUUAUAUACAAAAAACUUCAGAUACCCUAUCUAGGUUUAUCAAAUAUUCACUUUAGUACCCUUUAGUUUUAAAUUUGUCAUUGAUUUUUUUUUUCCUUCGUUAAUAUUUCGUUAAAUUAUAUACCAAAAACUUCAGAUACCCUACCUAGAUUUAUCCAAUAUUCACUUUAGUGCUCUUUAAUUUUAAUUUUGUCACUGAUUUAACAAAAAAAUAAUGAAAUAGAUGAAAAAAAAAAAGAGAAAAAUGAAAUCACGGGAUACUAACUUGAUACACUUUAAACCACAGGGUACUAUCUUGAUACACGUUAAACCACAUGGUACUAAGUGAGAAAGUGCAAAACCACAAGGGCUAACUUGAUAUAGUUUAAAUCACAGAAUAUUAAAGUGAGAAAGUGUAAAACUACAUGGGGGUAUUUAAAGUUUACCCUUUUUUUUUUAUUGUGAAUCUUUGGCUUCUAAUUUGUUUU